UACAGACGAACCGAGCGUUAGGCGGAAUCACUGGGCUUAAAGCGUGUGUAGGCGGAUGCCUAAGUGAUUUGUGAAAUCACACGGCUCAACCGUGGAAUUGCUUGGCAUACUGGGUGUCUUGAGCCACUUAGGGGCGAACGGAACAGACGGUGGAGCGGUGAAAUGCGUAGAUAUCGGCUGGAACGCCAAGGGUGAAAACAGUUCGCUGGGAGUGUGCUGACGCUGAGAAACGAAAGCCAGGGGAGCAAACGGG
rnacentral:rRNA from 1 species